CUCUUUUAUCCUUUAGGGAAAGAAAAAAAGUAAACAUCAAUAUAAAUUUAGGGAGAAAGAGAUAGAUGAUCUUUAUGAGCACACA